rnacentral:tRNA from 1 species
UACUUAGAUAGCUUAUUAGAGCAUUAUACUGAAGAUAUAAAGGAAAUAUUCUUAUUUUUAAGUAU